rnacentral:rRNA from 1 species
UACGAAGGGGGCUAGCGUUGUUCGGAUUUACUGGGCGUAAAGCGCGUGUAGGCGGAUUUGUAAGUUGGGGGUGAAAUCCCGAGGCUCAACCUCGGAACUGCCUCCAAAACUACAAAUCUGGACUCAAGUAGAGGCAAGUGGAAUUGCGAGUGUAGAGGUGAAAUUCGUAGAUAUUCGCAGGAACACCAGUGGCGAAGGCGACUUGCUGGACUUGUAGUGACGCUGAGACGCGAAAGCGUGGGGAGCAAACAGG